rnacentral:tRNA from 4 species
GGAAGGUUGUCCGAGCUGGCCGAAGGAGCACGCCUGGAAAGUGUGUAAACGCUAACCGCGUUUCAAGGGUUCGAAUCCCUUACCUUCCGCUA